AGAAGCCCCUCGGGGCAGCCGAUCUGCGGAGGUCGUUUUGUGGCUGUCGCCCGCUCCUUCCUCUCCUCUCAAACCCUUUCCCUUGUGGGGGGGAAAAAACUUCGCUGCACCAAAAAUAAAUGUGACCCGAUCGCCUGCAGCCGCCCGAGGAGUGGGGCCAGGGGCAGCGCGCCCGGCCCGGCCCGGCUGCAGUGCGGUUCCCUCACACGGCCCUGCUCCGCCUCGAGAAGCGGCCAACUCCGCUCUCCGCCGGGGAUCGGGAUGCGGGACACGGGAGGGGGUGUGGGGCGCGGGGCGACGCUCUGCCCGAGCCCACUCGGAGGGGAAGAAACCCUCUGCCUCGGAACCGCAGCCCAAAGCGGAGCAGCGGGGAGCAGCUCGGCUGUUUCGUUUGCAAACCGACGGCCAGGGAGAGGCAGCGGCGUCGGGGCGGGAGGAGCUGCGAGCCCCAGCAAUCCAAUCGGACGUGGGCUCCCAGCAAGAACAGCCGCGACGUGCCUACCCAGGGCCUGGCAAGGCGAGAACUCACUGUAUUUUAUUUUUAAGUAUUUCGAUGGGUACACCCAUCCCUCCUCCAUGCCGGGACAGAGAGCAGACGGGACCGCUUCCCCCGAACGACGACCGCACAGGGGUCCCCCUGCCCUGCGAUUUGGCUCUGGACAAAACUUUGUUGGCCGGAGGGGGGGUGGUGGUGGGGGGGCAGCGACACGGGGCUGCGACUGCCGAACCGCUCUGGCUCCUCCGAGAGCUGUAAUAUCUCCUCGGCUCCCGGCACGCGUGAAUAAUUCACCGGGCUGCCAAAUCUAAGUAACGUGUGUGGCAGCUCUGAAGGAGGCGAAGGCCCGUUUUUGGGGGGCAGGAGGAGGUGUGGGGAAUCAAUUGAAACUUAAUAUAGGGCGUGGGGGGGAGAAUGGCGGAAAUAAGGCAGGCAACUUCUUCUAAUAACAACUGGCUGUUAAUAAUUCAGGAGCAGUCAUUGGAUUAUAGCGCAAUAUCCGAAGUACGCGGUGCCGGCACAGUGCGGGUGGAUAAUGUAAUCGGAGCUCAUUUCGGCUUCCAAUAAAUUACAGCAGCAAAAGUUUCCUGUUAAAGCAGUUAUUUGUAUUUCUUUUUCUGAAGGUGAUCCCCCUCCCUCCUCCUCUUCCAACAACUGCAGUGAGGAAGUUAAUUAAAAACUAAUA
ensembl:lncRNA